UCCUAUUUGUUGUGUAUUUGUUUGUUUUCAUUUUGCACAAAAGGUUUUGGAAGUUGGUAUGCCUGCCGUUUUUUGCUCCUGUUUAGUGUUUAGGGUAUGCCUACUACUGUUUUGUGUGUACCUGUUUGUUUUUAUUUUAUUCUAACCAAAGGGUUUUGAAGGACCGGUCUUUUACUAGGACUUUGGUUUUACUAUGUUACCCAGCCAUGCCUCAAAAGGAAAAUCUCAUAUCUGAGUUACAUACGAGAAAAGGAACAUGGAAGAUAGUGUCCAUAUCACUAAUCUUCGGGAAGUUAGAAAGCAAAAUAGUAAACAAGCAAUUGAGAUGGUGUUGAUGGACCAAACGGGUACAAAUAUUAGUGUUACUCUCUGGCAAGAAUUGUUCGCUGAGUUCCGGCACACGUUACAUUGUGGUUCUUCGUAUUUGAUUCAAAACCUAAGGAUUGUUGACAACCAGUCUAAAUACAGAGUCACCCAGUUCCACUUUUGGUUUAUUUCGCCAGAACUACAUCUAUCAAGGAGAUCCAGCAUCCAGAAAUUCCUCCUAAUGUCUACAUGAUUACUCUGUUUGCUGAUAUAAUCUCUGGGGUGGCGCCACACCAUACUUUAGUGGGUCAAUUUAUUGAGUUUUUCGUAUAACAAACAAUUUCGUAUACAUUUUUCUGUGGGACUAACGUUUGUGUUGGGUGGCCAUUUUGGGCAAGACAUUGUUGGGGUGGUCGCUGAUCUCAUUGAUGUUAAGACAAUUAAUCCCCCUCACAGGAUGACAGUCAAGCUUAGAGAU